rnacentral:rRNA from 1 species
UCAGAUGUUCGGGGCCGCACGCGCGCCACACUGGAGAGAUCAACGUGUGGUUGCUUAUCCCUGUCCGAGAGGACCGGGUAACCCGCUGAAAUCUCUCCGUGAUGGGGACUGGAGAUUGUAACUUUUCUCCACAAACGAGGAAUACCUCGUAGGCGCGAGUCAUUAGCUCGCGCCGAUUAAGUCCCUGCCCUUUGUACACACCGCCUGUCGUUACCUCCGAUUGAGUGAUUUAGUGAGGUCUUCGGACUGGCGCUCGGUCCUUAACGGGGUCGGUCGAGCCGGAAAGAUGACCGAACUUGAUCACUUAGAGGAAGUACAAGUCAUAACAAGGUUGUC